rnacentral:rRNA from 1 species
GAUGAACGCUGGCGGCGUGCCUAAUACAUGCAAGUCGAGCGAACGGACGAGAAGCUUGCUUCUCUGAUGUUAGCGGCGGACGGGUGAGUAACACGUGGAUAACCUACCUAUAAGACUGGGAUAACUUCGGGAAACCGGAGCUAAUACCGGAUAAUAUUUUGAACCGCAUGGUUCAAAAGUGAAAGACGGUCUUGCUGUCACUUAUAGAUGGAUCCGCGCUGCAUUAGCUAGUUGGUAAGGUAACGGCUUACCAAGGCAACGAUGCAUAGCCGACCUGAGAGGGUGAUCGGCCACACGGGAACUGGGACACGGUCCAGACUCCUACGGGAGGCAGCGGUAGGGAAUCUUCCGCAAUGGGCGAAAGCCUGACGGAGCAACGCCGCGUGAGUGAUGAAGGUCUUCGGAUCGUAAAACUCUGUUAUUAGGGAAGAACAUAUGUGUAAGUAACUGUGCACAUCUUGACGGUACCUAAUCAGAAAGCCACGGCUAACUACGUG